GAUCAUGGCUCAGGACGAACGCUGGCGGCGCGCCUAACACAUGCAAGUCGAACGAGCGAGAGAGAGCUUGCUUUCUCGAGCGAGUGGCGAACGGGUGAGUAACGCGUGAGGAACCUGCCUUAUACAGGGGGAUAACAGUCAGAAAUGACUGCUAAUACCGCAUAAGCGCACAGGGCCGCAUGGUCCGGUGUGAAAAACUCCGGUGGUGUAAGAUGGACCCGCGUCUGAUUAGGUAG
rnacentral:rRNA from 1 species